rnacentral:rRNA from 1 species
CAGUAGCCGCGGGAAUACGAAGGGUGCAAGCGUUACUCGGAAUUACUGGGCGUAAAGCGUGCGUAGGUGGUGGUUUAAGUCCGUUGUGAAUGCCCUGGGCUCAACCUGGGAAUUGCAGUGGAUACUGGAUCACUAGAGUGUGGUAGAGGAUAGUGGAAUUUCCGGUGUAGCAGUGAAAUGCGUAGAGAUCGGAAGGAACAUCUGUGGCGAAGGCGACUAUCUGGGCCAACACUGACACUGAGGCACGAAAGCGUGGGGAGCAAACAGGAUUAGAUACCCCUGUAGUCCCUGUCUCUUAUAC